ACGAACGCUAGCGGCGUGCCUAAGAAAUGCAAGUCGAGCGAAUCGAGGGUGCUUGCACCCAAAGGUUAGCGGCGAACGGUCGCGUAACACGUAAGCAACCUGCCUCAAAGUGUGGGAUAGUCCUCCGAAAGGGGGCUUAAUACCGCAUGUGGACUGUUUUUCGCAUGUAGGACAGUCUAAAGCAGCAAUGCGCUUUGAGAUGGGCUUGCGGCCUAUCAGCUAGUUGGUGUGGGUAACGGCCCACCAAGGCGACGACGGGUAGCUGGUCUGAGAGGAUGGUCAGCCGGACUGGGACUGAGACACGGCCCAGACUCCUACGGGGGGCAGCAAUUAGGAAUCUUGCGCAAUGGGCGAAAGCCUGACGCAGCGACGCCGCGUGACUGAUGACGUCUUUCGGGAUGUAAAGGUCUUUUUUGGGGGAAGAAGGAUGUGACGGUACCCCAAGAAUAAGCCCCGGCUAACUACGU
rnacentral:rRNA from 1 species